rnacentral:rRNA from 1 species
GAUGAACGCUGGCGGCGUGCCUAAUACAUGCAAGUCGAGCGAACAGACGAGGAGCUUGCUCCUCUGACGUUAGCGGCGGACGGGUGAGUAACACGUGGAUAACCUACCUAUAAGACUGGGAUAACUUCGGGAAACCGGAGCUAAUACCGGAUAAUAUAUUGAACCGCAUGGUUCAAUAGUGAAAGACGGUUUUGCUGUCACUUAUAGAUGGAUCCGCGCCGCAUUAGCUAGUUGGUAAGGUAACGGCUUACCAAGGCAACGAUGCGUAGCCGACCUGAGAGGGUGAUCGGCCACCCUGGAACUGAGACACGGUCCAGAGUACUACGGGAGGCAGCAGUCGGGAAUCUUCCGCAAUGGGCGAAAGCUUGACGGAGCAACGCCGCGUGAGAGAUGAAGGUCUUCGGAUCGUAAAAAUCUGUUAUUAGGGAAGAACAAAUGUGUAAGUAACUAUGCACGUCUUGACGGUACCUAAUCAGAAAGCCACGGCUAACUACGUG